rnacentral:rRNA from 1 species
GUGGGGAAUAUUGGACAAUGGGCGAAAGCCUGAUCCAGCCAUGCCGCGUGUGUGAAGAAGGUCUUCGGAUUGUAAAGCACUUUAAGUUGGGAGGAAGGGCAGUAAGCUAAUACCUUGCUGUUUUGACGUUACCGACAGAAUAAGCACCGGCUAACUCUGUGCCAGCAGCCGCGGUAAUACAGAGGGUGCAAGCGUUAAUCGGAAUUACUGGGCGUAAAGCGCGCGUAGGUGGUUCGUUAAGUUGGAUGUGAAAGCCCCGGGCUCAACCUGGGAACUGCAUCCAAAACUGGCGAGCUAGAGUACGGUAGAGGGUGGUGGAAUUUCCUGUGUAGCGGUGAAAUGCGUAGAUAUAGGAAGGAACACCAGUGGCGAAGGCGACCACCUGGACUGAUACUGACACUGAGGUGCGAAAGCGUGGGGAGCAAACAGGAUUAGAUACCCGGGUAGUCC